GGCCCUCACCGGAUGGAGCACAGGAGGAAACAAAAGUGCUUGUGUUAACAGAAUGUCAUUUCCCAACAUGAGUCAGGCUCAACGCUGAGGCAGGGAAAGGAGAGCAAAUGCCUUCCCAUUCAUCACGACGGACACGGCUAUUUUUAGAGCAACAGCAGCUCGGUGCUGGGCUCCAAAGACCCUGCCGUGGAAGGAAAUGAGGCUCAGGCGAUGGUAGAGCUGGCCAGGAGUAGAGAGUCCGAGAGCAUGCUUGUGUUUGUGGAUGCACAGAAAGGGGGGAAGGCAAGCCUUCCUCUCUAAACUUCACUUCAAUCCUGAACCUAAUCCCUGUGUGAGCACGGGGAGAGAAAUGGAGCAGGGCUAUCACAGACAAGAACUGUGAGUCAGCACUGUGUUCAGGCCGGGCGCUCGGCUACCCUGAGAACCAUCUAGAUUACCUGGACAGACAGACAGACAGACAGACAGACAGACAGACAGACAAGGUUUGGAGGAAGACAUACUGCCCAAGGAGCCAGGUGCUUCAAUCCCAACUCUGUACCUGGUUUAUGACUUUGACUCAACCACCCACCUGUAUGGACCAGAAAAGGAACGGCUUGGACGACACACUCUUGAAAGUUCCUCUUCGGAAUAGCACAAAACAAGUCUAAGGAAGGAGGUGGAAACUUCUAAAUAUUCUCCCCCAGAAAGCUGGUUCUUGGACCGAGGGAGUGGACUUGGCAGAAAGGGCAUGGAUAGCUAACAGAUAUCCAUCUCUCAAAUGCUAUUUAAGGACCACAACAGGUAUCCUCUGCACGACAGGUUAUCGCUUUCCCAUUGCACAGAUAUGUGCGUGACCACUGAGGUUCAAGGCAACGAUAGGCCUAAACUUUUAUCUUCCUGAGGUGGAAGCUCAUGUGCUUUUUGUCACACCAUACCCUCCCGAUGGACCAUCAGGGACAGCGAAUUCUGUUUUCCUCACUCCAAACAUCCUUUUAAAAGCCUGGCCCUCUAUGAACUCCAUUUUUUUCCUUCUAUGACUUUGUUUAUUAUUAAAAGACGGCUGUAAUUCUGUGUACCUUGAGCUGUACUGGGAAAACCGAAGGACAGUGUGGCCAAGUGCGUGGCCCUGUGUGCCACCAGAUCCUCUUGUACAAGCUGCCACCAGACGACAUCAUCGGCAAGUUUCUACACUGUGCUCUUACUUCUAGAAGAGGAGAUGAGUCCGACGCCAGCCCACUUCUUUCCAGGCACCUGAAGCCAGCCAGCUCCCUGUUCCCCUUUUCUUUGGGUGGCUUUGUGCAGGAAGAUUCUGGCAGGCUGGGGUCUGAUUGCUUGGCUAGGUCUCUCAUGAAGCUUAGUGUGGUGAUAUUUUGUAUGAUCUAACAAAUAAAGCUUGUCUGAAGAUCAGAGUGUAGAGCUAGCCACACUAGUUAGCCAUUGAAGCCGGGCAGUGGUGGCAGGCACCUUUAAUCCCAGUACUUAGGAGACAGAGGGAUCUCUGUUAGUUCAAGGCUACCCUGGACUAGGAAACUGAUCCAGUCUAAAAGAGAAACAGAGUUAAGGAGUGGUGGUUUGCACCUUUAAUCCCAGUAUUUGGGAUUCACAUGCCUUUAAUCCCAUCACUAAGGAGGUGAAGGGAUAUGGUUGAAUAGAGAGAGGGAUAUACGGUAAGAGGAGACAGGAGCAUCGCUGUCAGUCUGAUGAGCAGUCCGUCUGAGGAGACAGCCUGAGGAUAGGAUCACCCCUUUGGUCUGAGCUUUGGUAGAGGUAAACUACCACUACUCCAGUGGCCACUCUGCUUCUCUGAUCUUUCACCUGUCACCCCCU